ACCUGAGGGGGAAAAGAUGAAUGAACCAUCUUGGCUCUGCCCUGGGCCUCUCAGAUUGCCGACUUCCUGUUAGGUUGUGAAAUAGAAAGACAAGGGACCAGAGGAGAAAGUCUUGGCCAGCCCCAGGUAUUUUAGCCAGAGGUCAAAGUCAGAACCACCAAGCGAAGCAUGCCUUCGGAGUCCCAGGCCCAGGGGCUGGGUCAGUGAAGUUCUUUGUGGAGUGUCCACACCUCUCCUUGUUAGCUUGAAGUGUCCUCAAGAACAAGGACUCAUGAAAAAGACCACGGUCCAAGGAUUUUGAGGUCAUUUGUUCCUACAGAAAUUUUUUUUUUAGGCAAUUGGAGUUAAGUGACUUGCCCAGGGUCACAGAGCUAG